rnacentral:misc_RNA from 1 species
UUGAAUAAACCUGAUGGGUUGCUGCUGGCCCUUCACCGGGCAUGUGCACGCCUGUCUUCUUUAUUUUUCCACCUGUGCACUACUUGUAGGCUUGAAUAGCAUUUUAAUUGGCCUUUGGGACAGCUUUGAGGAAUGCGGCCUUGGUCGCUAUUCUCUCCGAUAUUCAAGUCUAUGUUUUACUAUACACCCAUUGUUAAACCCAGAAUGUCAUUUACAGGCCACAAGUGUGCCUAAAACACUAUA